AUUGAACGCUGGCGGCAUGCCUUACACAUGCAAGCCGAACGGUAACAGGUCUUCGGAUGCUGACGAGUGGCGAACGGGUGAGUAAUACAUCGGAACGUGCCUAGUAGUGGGGGAUAACUGCUCGAAAGAGUGGCUAAUACCGCAUGAGAUCUACGGAUGAAAGCAGGGGAUCGCAAGACCUUGUGCUACUAGAGCGGCCGAUGGCAGAUUAGGUAGUUGGUGGGAUAAAAGCUUACCAAGCCGACGAUCUGUAGCUGGUCUGAGAGGACGAUCAGCCACACUGGGACUGAGACACGGCCCAGACUCCUACGGGAGGCAGCAGUGGGGAAUUUUGGACAAUGGGCGAAAGCCUGAUCCAGCAAUGCCGCGUGCAGGAUGAAGGCCUUCGGGUUGUAAACUGCUUUUGUACGGAACGAAAAGCCCUGGGUUAAUACCCUGGGGUCAUGACGGUACCGUAAGAAUAAGCACCGGCUAACUACGUGCCAGCCGCCGCGGUAA
rnacentral:rRNA from 1 species